UAAAUAUGAAUUUUUGAUAUG
rnacentral:piRNA from 1 species